UGACACCUGUGGGAUUCGAACCCACGCCUAUUACUAGACCGCGAAACUGACCAAUCCGAAUUGCUCCGAAUAGAACCUGAACACGGCGCCUUAGACCACUCGGCCAAAGUGCC